GGGCAUUGCGCGCGGCGCUAUGGAGAGGCGCUUACAAAGCGGACACCGGGUCGCCGGCCCGCACAGCGCUUGCUCUCACCACGCACAGCUGUUACCAUUCUCGACUCUAACAACGACGGCGACUCGAUGAGGCCAGCGCCACGCACGUUGUCUCACCUAAGCUGCCAAUCAACGCCACGAAGGCUCGUGCAGAGAAAGUAUAUUCAGAGACACGGGACAGGGAGCAAGGGAGGCGGACGGCGCGGGGCCGGCGUUCUCCGCGUCAUCUUGCCUCGCUGCUGCUACACCCAGACAGAAGUAGGUCAGGCAUCCCUCGGAGCGUGCUGAGCCAGACGAGAGCUGAGCCGCCAGCCUUCCUGGGCCUCCAGCUCACUGGCUGGAGACCUUGGACUCCUCAGCCUCCACAGCUGUGCGAGCCGGUGUUUACGGCGAAUCUCUCUCCAUGCACGCGUGUGUACGGCGCGUGGGCGUGCUCGGGUACGGAAGCCUCCGCGCCUGCAGGCCGCCCGCCUGCGGACGGGAAAGGGACCACCGCGGCUGCCUCUGCGACGGACACGCGCGCGCUCUUCUCUCGUUAGCGUUUCUGAGCCGGUUCUGCCCAGCGUCUAUCACCUGCCAUCUCCACCGCUUUAAGUAUCACAGGUCAUGUGGAGAUGGCCAGAGGUACCCAGGAGGAUGCGCGGGUCUGAUGCCAAGCCAAGCAAGGGGCGGGAGCGCCUUGAGGAUUUUUGGUACUUGUAAACAGUUCUGGAAACCCAUCCCACCGAGGACCCCAAAAGAUGGCUGCACGCUUGUCUGAGUAUGUAGUAUAUGUAUAGAUUGCCUAUACGUGCUUGCAGGUGCGUCAUUUAUAUAAAUACACACCUCGUCUGUUGUGUGUGUUUUUUCUGGAGAACAUAGGUUUACUCAUUUAUUGCUUAUUUUCGUGUGUUCAUGUGCACACUCGUGGAAGCCAGGGGUUCAGGUGUCCCCAUCCGCUUGCUCCCCAUUAAAAUUACCGAUAAUUUAAUGAAAACAUUUACUUAUUUUCACGUUAUGUGUAUGGGUGUGUGCAUACAUGUUUUACCUGCAUGUGUGUCUGUGCCACGUGCACGCGGUGCCCCUCGGAGGCCAGAAGAUGGUGUCAGGUCUCCUGGAACUGGAGUUUACAGACAGUUGUGCGCUGCAGUGGGGUACUGGCAAGCAAACCCGGGUCCUCUGGGAAAAGCAGCCGGUGAUCUAACCACUGAACCAUCACCUCUCCAGGUCCCUUCCUUUAAUUUUUGAGACAGGGUCGCUCGCGGAACCUGGAGCUCACUGAUUGGCUCAACUACUCUAAGCCCCGGGGAUCCUCCUGUCUCCACCUGGCCAGCGCAGGCUCGGGACCCGACUCACCUGGCUUUUACGUCUCCUGCUUGAGCGGCAGGCGCGGCACCCAGUGAGCCAUCCUCCCAGACCGCAGCGAUUGGGUUAAACAGGAGCACGUGACACGGUUCUGCCCAAUGAGGUGCAGGGAAAGUCUGCUGCCCGCCUCCUCGUGCGCCCCAGAGAGGCCUGCAGAGCACAGCCCGGCUUCCGGCGCUCGCCCUCUCUGUCCGCUGGCAGUGCUCAGGCAGCGGAGGGCACAGCUGGCACCGGGGCAUGCGGAGUCCCAGGAGAAUCGGACACUGCGGCAUCCACCGCUGGGUUUGGCGAUGUUCUGGAAAACACCACCUUCUGAGGGAGGCACGGGGUUAGGGCUUUGUCUUACCGGCAGUUGAAAUAAUCUCACGAUUCGUUGAGCCACGUGAGAGGACCUUCCGUCCCCUCUCCCCCACCUAACAUUUAAGCCAACACACACAGAUCGUUGUAGAGCAUCUAUUCUUAUGCUUGCAAAAGGAUGUUCUGGGUGUUUCCUAACACAACUGCCAUGUUUAGAAUGAAAUACUGAAUCAGUUUUGCAUCCCGAACAAUUGACUUGCCAGUGUGUGUUAAUUCCACAAUUAAGCUGACUGGAAAAAGUCACUUCCAGGUCCAGACUGCAGGGGGCGCUGUCGAGCAAACGACAUCUCUGGUUCAUCUGGCACAGCUGCCUGGCUCGGCCCAGGGUCUGUGUCGUGUGGCACUCUGUCCCGCUGUACUCGGGGAUUCAACCUCUCCCCAUCUUUGCCAAAACUUUUAAUGUGUGUGUGUCUUUGUGCAUUCGCAUGUGCAUAUAUGUGUGUGCUAUACGCAUGGGGGGCACACCCAGUUGGACAGGCAGAGGCCAGGAAGGGCACCGGGUUUCCUGUGCUAUCAUCGCUCCGUGUCUUGUUCCCUAAAACAGAACCUGGAGCUAGGCUGGCGGGUACAAGCUCCUGCUGUCUCCACAGUGCCGGGUGCACGGGCACGCGUGGAGCCCUGCCCUGGGGAAUUUAAAUUUCGGUCUCAAGCCUCUGUGACAAGUGCCCUUCCCCACUGAGCCAAACUCGGUGGCCCCUAAGCUUGCUUUUAUUUCUCAGUCAUCUGAGUGGGGAUGAAGCAGGAGUGUGAGGUUUCUGCUUUUCGUUCCCGGGCGACUAACAAAGCUGGACGGUGCUUCGAAUGCUAUCCAUCUGCCACUUGUGUAGCUUCCGUGGAAAAUGCUUAUCCAACCCUCUUGGCCUUUCUUAAAUUUGGAUUGUUGGUCUUUUUGUUCAGUUGUACACAUUCUUUAUGUAAACUAGACGCCGAGGUUAUCACCCCUAGGGUGUUCUGGGAUGUCCCGCCUCUGCAGAUCGCGAAGUCUAAUUCACUCUUUCCCCCCCUUUUACUGACGUCUAAGAAAACAAUCCCCAAACCAUGACUGUUUGGUCCUAUAUUUUCUUUUACAGGUUUGACAAUUUUAGCAUUUAUCCAAUCCAUUUGAGCUAAUUCUACGUACGGGGCGAGAUGAGGGGUCUGGGCGCUUUUGCAGGUUGAGAUUGUUGCAUCACUCGGCGUGGAACCCAUUUGGCUCCCUGUUGAGCAUCUUGGCCCUGUCUCCUCAGUCGGCGGGGCUCGGAUGGCUUGGUUUGUUUCUGAACUCUCAGGGCCACUUCAUCAUUCAUGUGACCGUCAUUACGACAGCACUGCGCUGUCUUGUUUAUUUUUAAUGCGUGUGUGUGUGUGUGUGUGUGUGUGUGUGUUCGUGUGCGCGCGCGAGCGUGCGCGCCUGCCAGAGGGCAUGCGGAGGACAGAGGCCCACUUAAGGUGUCCGUCUUCACCGUCGCUCUCUCUCGCUUGCUGCUGCGUGUCUACGUGCGCCAGCAUAGCUGGGCCACCAGCUUCCAGGGUUCUGUCUCUGCCCUCUGUCUUCAAGGAGCAGGGGCGCUGGGACCCAUGCACACUUCUGGGUUGGGCUUCAGCCCUCAGCUUCUUUGAAAACUGUGAAACUGGAAGAGCUAAGCUGUCCGCUCUCUUCAAGAUUGUUUUGUCUCAUGAAGGUUUCUCAACGUCCCCUGUGAAUUGUAGGGUCCAAUUCUGCAAAGAUGAGGGGAGAUGCAAAGAUGGCGACCCCAGGAAAAGGAUCAGUGGACGGCACCACUCUUUAUCACGUGACCUUCCUGUCCUGCUCUCAUUAGAGGAGGAGCUCGGCUCCACCCACCCACUGUGCAUUCACCCUCUGGUUGUAACCCAGAGGCUCCAACCCAGUGAGGAUAGGGCCUUCCUCCUUAACGUGGGGAGGUGGGUGGACGGGUUCUGUCCCCACUGAUCCCAGCUGCUGGGGACGGCCAGCACAGGCCAGCCACUCUCCUGCCUUUCUCUUCCGGUGCCAUUGUGGCCCAGAAUCAGUUCUCCCUCUGUGCCACUAGAAGGCGCCCUGCCUUCACGGAUGAUGCAAUUGUGACUCUUCUGUGAAGGCUCAUGGUAGAGAGGGCCACAGGGCAGGGCUGUCCUGUUUCCCUGGGGACUGUGCUGUGCUUGGAGUGUUGCCAGGGUUCUGAUAUAGUAACUGUAGCAGCGACAGCAAGUGCAGAGGCAGCCCUGGCCAUGGCCACAGUGUGUACCCGGCUCUGUCCCCAGGUGCGCUCCUGUAACCCCACAGGUCUUGGUGAUAGUCCUUUCAUGAUGCGUAGGAGAAAACCAAGUCUCAGAGAGGUGUGGUAACCUGCCCAGGGUCACACAGCACACGCUGGUGAAUAAGAGUGUUCUCUGUUCACAUGCUGGAGACGUAAUAAUGUCCACAGAGAGGGCUAUUUUUUUUUUUAAUUUUUAUUACGUUAUUUAAGUGUGUGCUUGCAUCAAGAGGGGAGAGGACUUCCUACAGGAAUUGGUUUUCUCCCAUCAUGUGGGUUCCUAGGAUCAAGCCCAGUCCUUAAGCUUGGCAGCAGACCCCUUUAUCUGCUGAGCCAUCUUGCUGGCGCAGAAGCUAUUAUUAACUCAUGUUGUGUAGACUUUGUAUUGUCUGUCCUUGUAACUUUGCUUGUUUUGUAAAGCGGAAGACUGCCUGGCAUGUGUGAGGUCCUGGAUUCCACCAUAUCUUAGUUGCGUUUCUGUGCAUCAUGACCAAAAGCAACAUGGGAGGAGGGGGGGCGUUUGCCUCAUCUUACAGCCUGUGGUCCACCCCCCACUCGGGGAGCCCAGGGUGGGAACUCAAGCAAGGCAAGAACCUGGCAGAGGCCCGCAGGGCACUGCUCACUGACUUGUCCCUCAAGGCUUGCUCAGCCUGCCUUCCUGUGGAACCCAGGACCCCCAGCCCAGGGAUGGCCCCGCCCUCAAUGGCUGGGCCCUCCCACAUCAAUCACCAAGGAGAUGCCCUGAAGGUUUGCACAUAGGCCAGCCUUGUGGAGGCAUUUUCUCAGCUGGCUUUCCCUCUUCUCACAUGACUCUAGCAUGUGUGCAGCUGACAAGAGUAGCCAGCACAUUCCCAGCACCACAAAAAUACAAUUCAGUUCUUUGUGACAGCUGUGGGUGGGACUCAGCAGUUUUGGUUAUAAUUCUCACUGAUUUGUACCUUUUUCCUUGUGUGUGCUAGUCACAGAGCGUAUAAAGGCAGUCGGGCGUGGGGGUCACCAUCAGCAUUCUACUAGCUCAAUACAACAGUGAAUGCCUUUCUAACUGAGUGCAUGCCUUUAAUCCCAGCACCCAGGAGGCAGAGGCAGCCAGAUCUCUGUUACAGGCCAGACUGUUCUACAGAGUGACAGGACAGCCAGAGGUAUGCAGAGAGUGUGUCUCAAACAAAACAAACCCCAGACAACAACAAGCAAAGCAAAACAAACAAAAAUAUGCUUAGGCAGGAGAAUGGUGAGUUCCAGGCCAGCCUGGGCUCCAUAAUGGUACCUCAGGGUUAGGAGUCAAAAGAAAAAAAAAAAAAAUCCUAGCAUGAUAAACUUCUGUUUUGCUUUCAGCUUGAGGCUCACUGUGUAGCACUGGCUGUCCUGAAACUCACCAUGCAGACAAGGGUGGCUUUGAACUUGGAGAUCUAACUGCUUCUGCCUCUUGAAUGCUGAAAUUAUAGCUCUAUGCAACCAUUCCUGAAUUGAUAAGCAUUGAGUUAUGACACGAACAGUGAAGGAAGUCUAAAUCAACUGAAGCCUGGGUAAUCUUCUUUGUAACAAUGUGGAUAACAAUAUGGAUAAUAGCAAUUGAAUCUAUAUGCUUCCAUGCGGCUCCUUUCAAAUGUAUAUAAAAUGAUGUCUAUCUGGAUGCCUUAAAUCCCAGGGUUGUGACGGAUACUGAGGGUGGCCCAAAAGUGACCUCACACUCACGUGGACACCCACGGGGGAAUGACCGGUGCUCAGUGUGAUACCUUGCAUUCCCAUGGGAGCCAAGAUGUGGCUGUGUGGAUGUGACAAAUCUCACGUGAACAGCCAAGAUGAUUUUAACAAGCCAGUGUGGGCGUGACAAAUCAGAAGCAGCCACAAACAAAACAGCACCAGAAUAUAAAAACCUUAAGACUAUUCGGAACACAAGACUGGAUUUCCCUGAAAAACAGCCCGAGGCUCCUGGAAUGGUGACGACUUUACUUGUGACCGAGAAGAUCUGCUCAGUUGUACAGGCAUAUCUGACGAAGACUCAUGCCCACCAAACAGUCAUUACACAGAUGACUAAUCCAAUCACCACAGCCCAAAGCUAAGCAAACGUGUUGUCUGUCAGCUCAUCAGUAAACGAAACAUUGUGUGUCCAUACAAUGGAACAUCACCUAGACAUGAGAAUUAUGACUUGUCAGAUAUGGUGACAGCACAAGCCAUCCUUGUGCCAAGGGAGGAAGCCAGUCAGAGACGACUGUUUUCUAUGAGUCACUUUAUAUGAAGUGUGUCAACAGGCCAGCAUAUUGAGACAGGGGCAGCUCAGUGGCUGCCUUGGGCAGGAGUGGGAGAUCUGGUACACACGAGCGGCCACUUAGGGUGUUAGCAGUCUUCCCUGGGAGAUGAAAUGUGAAACUAUGUCAAUGAGCAACUGGUCAACCCAGGGUAUUCUAAAAAGUAUGGACCUGGCCCCUACAAUGGUUGAACUUGAGCAGCAUGCCAAAGAAUUCGGAAUACUUUCUUCCAAGCAUGGCUGUGUGCCACGAAUGGUCAGGGGUGACCUCUUGCCCGAUACUCAUAUGCUUCAUACAGCAGUAAAAUCCUACAGGGUCGAGGCUAUCAGUUUGGAAGCAGAGUCCCAGAGACAGGCUUCAAACUUUUGAUGGCGGCACGAUCACCUUCACAGACUCCUACAGGGAGGUGCCUGUGACAUGUAUUAAUAUAUUCUACCUAUGGAGACGUGAGGUCACCGAGGCUCUCUGGAAAGCAGAAAGGACUGAGCUGAGCAGAUGAUGAAGCACAGAGCUCAGGCACCACCCUCAGAAUGUGCCUGGCAGAGGCUGUCACCAGCAAGGCUAGAAGAACAGGACCAGCGUGUGAAUCUUCCCUUCUUCGUGCGAUGGGGCAGAAGCCAUCCUGAAUCACAGUUUAUGUCUUGGGAUGAACGGGAUUCCUCCGUGACCCAAUGGGAUUGGGCAGGGUGUGUGGGAUACAUGCAUACUGUGCAACAUAUAUCACAUAUGUGAUGCUGUCAUAUAUGGCCAUGUACAUCACGCACACACA